GGAAGAGCAGGAGAAACGGGUUUGCAAGAAAAGUGUCUUGGAUGAGUCUGUGGAAAAAAGGAGAGAGGUUGCUGUUGUGGCUUAAUGGUGUAUCUCAGAGAAAAGGAGGAGGAUCUCUUUACAGAGCAGUUGGAUGCUGGGGAUACUGUCAAUGAAGUGAUGAAGAUUGUCAUAUCCAGAGGUGCCACCAUGUCUGAUCCACCCAGCGCGAGGAUCUUCAUUGAGGGAACAGAAGUCCUGCAAGACCUGGACGUACCCAGA